rnacentral:rRNA from 1 species
AUUGAACGCUGGCGGCAGGCCUAACACAUGCAAGUCGAACGGUAACAGGAAGCAGCUUGCUGCUUUUCUGACGAGUGGCGGACGGGUGAGUAAUGUCUGGGAAACUGCCCGAUGGAGGGGGAUAACUACUGGAAACGGUAGCUAAUACCGCAUAACGUCGCAAGCCCAAAGAGGGGGACCUUAUGGCCUCUUGCCAUCGUAUGUGCCCAGCUGGGAUUAGCUAGUAGGUGGGGUAACGGCUCACCUAGUCGACGAUCCCUAGAUGGUCUGAGAGGAUGACCAGCCACACUGGAACUGAGACACGGUCCAGACUCCUAAGGGAGGCAGCAGUGGGGAAUAUUGAACAAUGGGCGCAAGCCUGAUGCAGCCAGGCCGAGUGUAUGAAGAAGGCCUUCGGGUUGGAAAGUACGUUCAGCGGGGAGGAAGGGAGUAAAGUUAAGACCUUUGCUCAUUGACGUUACCCGCAGAAGAAGCACCGGCUAACUCCGUG